rnacentral:rRNA from 1 species
CGUGUAGGCGGGUUAUCAAGUCAGAUGUGAAAUUCCAUGGCUCAACUGUGGCGCUGCAUCUGAAACUGAUGAUCUUGAGUGAUGGAGAGAAAAGCGGAAUUCCUAGUGUAGCGGUGAAAUGCGUAGAUAUUAGGAGGAACACCAGUGGCGAAGGCGGCUUUCUGGACAUUAACUGACGCUGAGGCGCGAAAGCGUGGGGAGCAAACAGGAUUAGAUACCCUGGUAGUCCACGCUGUAAACGAUGGAUACUAGGUGUAGGAGGUAUCGACCCCUUCUGUGCCGGAGUUAACACAAUAAGUAUCCCACCUGGGGAGUACGGCCGCAAGGUUGAA